CGGGAAGUAGCUCAGCUUGGUAGAGCACCACGUUCGGGACGUGGGGGUCGCAGGUUCAAAUCCUGUCUUCCCGA
rnacentral:tRNA from 2 species